UACAAAUCAGAAGAAGCUUCAAAAACCUCACGUACACAUUUUACAGUUUCGACUUCAACCCCACCAUCUUCUUCACCCCUUUCCCAUGUUGAACGCUCUAUCCCAUCACAACCACUCUCCACUGGACAACCUGUGUAUGACGAACCAACUCCCACGAGCAGGUCUGCUGAUCCGCUGCCUCCAGCACUGUGGGGCUCACAGCCCCAAAGCUCCUCCUUUCUUCCACCCCCACCAUCAAAAUCUGAUCAGAGACAGGAAUUUUUCGACCAACAAGAUAGUCGUGGGUCAGGUUCGUCAUAUGAUAGUUUAGUUGGACAUACCCAGAGCCUCUCUCUUAGUCCACCAACUCCAACCAAACAGGAAAAGCAAGAAGAUGUGCUAUUUAAAGAUCUGGUUGACUUUGCGAAAGCUCGGUCCUCAGGGUCGUCAAAGCCGAACCGAUCUAUGUGAAAAUUCGAGUAAAUAUGAA
rnacentral:misc_RNA from 1 species